CCUACGGGAGGCAGCAGUGGGGGAUAUUGCACAAUGGGGGAAACCCUGAUGCAGCGACGCCGCGUGGGCGAAGAAGUAUUUCGGUAUGUAAAGCCCUAUCAGCAGGGAAGAAGAAAUGACGGUACCUGAGUAAUAAGCACCGGCUAAAUACGUGCCAGCAGCCGCGGUAAUACGUAUGGUGCAAGCGUUAUCCGGAUUUACUGGGUGUAAAGGGAGCGCAGGCGGCACGGCAAGCCUGAUGUGAAAGCCCGCGGCCCAACCGCGGGACUGCAGUGGGAACUACCGGGCUGGAGUGCCGGAGAGGUAGGCGGAAUUCCUAGUGUAGCGGUGAAAUGCGUAGAUAUUAGGAGGAACACCAGUGGCGAAGGCAGCCUACUGGACGGUGACUGACGCUGAGGCUCGAAAGCGUGGGGAGCAAACAGGAUUAGAUACCCCGGUAGUC
rnacentral:rRNA from 1 species